AGAUUCCGGGGAUGUACUUCUCAAUGAGCUUUUCGUAGUACGGCCAAAGGGCCUCAAUGUCCGGCACCUUCUCACUCUUCGUGUACAAAUCAUAUUUGCUACAAGGAAAACAGAAGUCGUUAGUUUAUCCGUUAUAUUUCAGGGUGGGUGGCGCAUUUACGUUGUGGAUGUCUAUGGGCUCCAGUAACGACUUAACACCAGGUGGCCUGUGAGCUCGUCCAACCACCUAAGCAAUCAAAAAAAAAAAAAUUUGUUAUAGUUAGUUUUAAUAUAGUUUUAUAGUAUUUAGAUUCA